AUUGAGGCUGGAGGAGGAGUUCAUGCAAAACUGGGAUCUUUAUCUCUCAUAAACUGUUUCUGUUCACUGAUUGUAUGUGGCUUUUGUUAAAGAACAUCAUUAGCAAUGGCAACAAUAAUUAAUUCAGUCCUGAUAUUACUGUUUUUAAAUGAUAUUCAUUGUCAGACCUUCACUCAGUCUGAAGCUGUGGUAAAGAGACCAGGUGAAUCUUUUCGUCUGGUCUGUACUGCCUCUGGAUAUUCAUUCAGCGGCUACUGGGCAGGUGUAGUGAGACAGGCAGCUGGUAAAGGACUGGAAUGGGUUUCAACUAUCGGCACGUCCAGUUCUGAGAAGUACUAUUCCCAGUCAGUUCAGGGCAGGUUCACAGUGUCCAGAGAUGAUUCCAGCAGUCAACUGUAUCUACAGAUGAACAGCCUCAAGACUGAAGACACUGCUGUGUAUUACUGCGCUAGAGAGUCACAGUGAAUGAGUUCAGUGUCAAAGCAAUACAAAAACCACCUUCACUGUUGACUUCACGGAUGCUCCAGAUGUACUGUUCCUUUUCCAAGAGGUGGCGCUCUUGUCAAGCAGUCUUAGUUCACUGCUUCAAAUGUCACUGACUGACCGUUUGUUUUCUUGACAGAGAAAUAGACAUUCCGA